rnacentral:rRNA from 1 species
UACGUAGGGUGCAAGCGUUGUCCGGAAUUAUUGGGCGUAAAGAGCGUGUAGGCGGCCCGGUUAGUCCGCUGUGAAAGUCCAGGGCUCAACCCUGGAAUGCCGGUGGAUACUGUCGGGCUAGAGGCCGGAAGGGGCGAGUGGAAUUCCUGGUGUAGCGGUGAAAUGCGUAGAGAUGUGGAGGAACACCAGUGGCGAAGGCGACUUUUUGGCCUGUAACUGACGCUGAGGCGCGAAAGCGUGGGGAGCAAACCGG